ACUUGGCCAGGCUGAUGGUGACCGUUAGCAGUCAGCCUCAGAUCACAUUCCUCAGCACCAAAAAGUGUUAAAAAAAAUGAUUCUAGAAGACAAUUUAGGCGAUACAACAACUUUUAGUUAACACUUCACGGAGCGGACAGUCUCCUUUCAGAGAACUGCAAAAUGAGGUGGAAGGCAGGGAGCUUUCAUAGGAUGAAGAACAAAGAACAAGAAAAACACAAAGAAAACACAUCUGAUAGUCUGGGGCCUCCGAGUCCACCUUGUUUGGGGUGAGAAGGAACAAGGAAGAAAACCUUGAUCUUGGAUGAAGUGAACCAUCUGCCUUCUUUGUGUCUGUAUGAGGACUACCAAGCUGCUGGAGGAAAAUUGCACACUUCAACAGUCUCUGUAAACUCACCAUCACCAACUUCACAUGGAUUUCAACCUACCUGGCAAUCCUGCAGCCUGGCUUCUGCUACCACUCCACUGAAGCUGGUCUUACCAACAUCAUCACUGACCUUGAUAAUGACAGCAUUGUUAUCAUAAUAGCCACUUGGUCUCCUUAUUGCCUUCCAACAACAUUUAAAACAGCCGACAGCUUUUUUUACAUUCUGUCCUUGGCUUUCAUAACAUAUGGAGUAAUUGCGUCCUUGAGACUUUGCCCAAUGCCCGCUUUUCACUCUGCG
rnacentral:lncRNA from 1 species